rnacentral:lncRNA from 1 species
CAACAAUGAACAUGUCAUCUAGACAGAAAUCAAUAAGGAAACACUGGACUUGAAACGCACAUUAGAUCAAAUGGACCUAAAUGUUCUUGAAAUUAAUCUUGGCAAUAAUUUAUUGGUGAUGAUCUCAAUAGCACAGGAAACCAAAGCAGAAAUAGACAAAUGGGAUUACCUCAAACCAAAAACCUUCUGUAUAACAAAGUAAAUAACGGAUUGAAGAGACAACCCAUGGACUGGGAGAAAAUAUUUACAAACCAUACAUGGCUAAUAUCCAAAAUAUGUAAGAAAUGCAAACAACUUAAAUUUGUUAGCAAGAAAAC